AGCUGCAUUUGCACCAUGGUGGUUUCAAAGCAAAGACAAGCCUCGUUGAGAAUAAUGCUCUGAUGGACAGGAAUGCCAGGACCUGGGUAGAAACUCAAGUUUCCUCUCCUGUAAUAUUUUUAUUUCUUUUCUAUUAAGCUGUCUUUCCAAAGAAGAACUUUUAAAAAAAUUCAAUGAGGGUACAGUUUUAAAUUUAAAUGUAGAACAAACAAAGACGAAACAGAAAAUGGACAAAUUGAAACAGGAAAAAUGGUCAAGAUAGGAAUUGCACACAAGUGUGGCUGGAGUUCCUGGAGGAAGGUUCUAUUUCUCCAAAGUGUUCUGGAAGCAGAGCUGCUUACCUAAAACCAGUGCACAGGCCAAACUAUGACUGUUCUCACACUUGGCAAUGCUGACCCAGGCUGUAGGCUGUAAUACCUCCUUGUUUGGGGGACUUAAUUACUUGUUUCCAGGCACAGAGGCAAAGAAGCAUUAACUGUGUCGUUCAAAGACAGUCAUAAAGCCAGUGUGGGGACAAUAAAGGUAAAAAUGUAUGGUGCUUUUUAGGUUAUAAGCAAGCCAAAGAGGAACUAUGCUGAGAAUGCCCACAAAGCACUGAAGUGAUACUCAAAUUACAUUUGCGUGAUUGUUUCUCCUAUGGAAAUCACGUAUUCAUUGCUAUGUCUCCAGCGUUUAAUACAGUAAAUGCCAUUGUAGGAAUCUGAUAGAUAUUCAUUGAACUAAACCAAAAAAGGUCAAAGAAAAAUGUUGAACUCUUGGCAAAAAUAUUUAAGCAAUGGAGAUAGUAAGAAAUAGGUGCAUUUGUGGAAAAGCCUCUGGGGAAUGCUCAGAGGUGCAUGCACACAGGUGUUGAGAAAAAUCACAAAGAGAUGAAGGAAUUAUGUAAAAGAAAACAAGAUUUACACAGGGUGCAGCGGCUCACACUGUAAUCCCAGCACUUUCAGAGGCUGAGGCAGGAGGAUUACUCGAGCAGAGGAGUUUAAGACCGGCCUGUGCAACACAGCAAGACCCUGUCUCCGCAAAAUAUUAAAAACAAAAAUUAGCCCAGUGUGGUGGCAAACACCACACUGAGUAGUCCUAGCUACUCAGAAGGCUGAGGCAGGAGGAUCAUUUAAAUACAGGAGUUCAAGGCUGUAUUCGGCUAUAAUCAUGCCACUGCACUUCAGGCUGGGUGACAGAGUGAGACCCUGUCAAGCAAGCAAGAAGGGAAGGGAAGAGAAGGGGAGGGGAGAGGACAGGAGAGGAGGGGAGGGGAGGAGAGGGGAAUUAAAACUUAAGAGGACAACUUAGUAAUGCUUAUGAGGAACAUUGAAAAAUCAUACUCUCUUAACAAUCUUUGAACGGAUGAGGACAUAUCCCAGAAAUAAUGGGGAGACAUCUGGAGAUAUGAGACUAAAAACAGGAAAAGACUGCACAUUUUUAGUGUGAUGUGACACCCAAAAGACUAAUGUUAUUUUUGGAUGCAGUCUAUUUAGAGCAUUUCAUCAUGGAAUAGAGGGUGACAGUUCCACUCUCAAUGACAUUCAUGAGACCUAUUCUAGAAUGCCCCAUUCCGUUUGGUUUGUCUGACUACCAAAAAUAAGUAGACAGAUUGGAAGGAGUCCAAAGAAGAGUUUCACAAUUGAUUAGGGAAAAGAAGCUGACUUAUGGGAAAAGUUUGAAAGAAUUAUGUCUAUACAGGAAGGUAUGGGUAUACAUGUUACAAAGCCAUAAAUGUCUGUUGGAGGAAGAAAUAAUUUACGGAGAUUAAAAGGCUACAGGUUGAACUGUACAGUGAAAUGGGUUUUGAAAAGAGAAUUUGGAUUACGUAUUGGAUGGAAAUUAGUUGGUGGUUAACGACAUCUAGGUGGCAUUGAUUUGGAAGUAGUGCGUGCCCUGAUGUGAAAUGCUGAAACGCGUCUUCCAUGCACAUUCAAGAGAGGAAUGGAGGCAAAAUAGGAGGUGAAGGGAUUUGAUGUCACUUUAGAUACUUUCCAUCUCAAAUCUGUCACAUUCCACAUUGUAUCUGUGUGUGCCAUAUGCAUGUAUUACAUUUAAUUCAAAUGUAAACUGUUUUAAUCCUGUAUGUAUUAAGAUACUUUAUCCCUUCCCCCUCUUUUGAAUACCCUUUAUGGGAAGCUAAGGUGAUUGUAAAACAACGUUUACCACACUAUCUGGAAAUAUUCACCAUUCUUAAAAUGGUUGUGAAAAUAACCCAAAUAUCUAACAAAUUCAAAAUGAUGUUAGCUAAGAAGUUAUUAAGACAUUAUGAUUGCAUUUAUGGUGAAUGUGUGUACAGAGUGUUGCAUAGAUACUUUGCAAAGAGCCUUUGCAUGUAUUUCUUGGUGAACUUGAAGCACCUCAUUCCUUUGGUUAGAUUGUCCUCUCCAGUUGCUUAUAAUAGGCCUCCACCUCACAAUAUUGAGACUUUUAAGAAAAGUAAUUUUACAUUUAGCAAGGGAGGUAGAUGGCCUAAAGGUUAAGUAAAGGAAAAAAUAAAAGAGGAGCACAAAUAGUAAUAAGAUAGGAGAGUCAGGGAUUGGUUUAAGUAAUGAAGUCCGCAAUCAAUUUUACAAGUUAAGGACAGUAAUGCUUUUAUUUGCCUUUACACACUCAUCGUUGACACUUAAAGACCAUAGAGACAUAAUAGUUUGUAUUCUAGAAAAGUUCUUUUGUAUUUUUCUUCAAACUAUCCAAUUAAAAAAACUCUUAAUUUUAUCAGAGAAUUGACAGUUUAAAUAAAAAUUUUCCAUUGCUUUGUUUCCUCUUCUGGGCAUAUAAUCAAAAUGCCAUCUUUUUCUACCCUUCUCAUUGCCCUUUGCUGAACUAUUCUUUCUAUGUAUAUUAAAAUUAUUAACCCCCACAUAAAAACAGAAAAGCCAAAAAGGAAUAGGGUUCCACCAGCAAAGCCACAUAGUGCUCAUACUGAUUGAAAACGUGGCAUGGGGACUGAGUUUUCCGUUUUGCUGUAGAUCCCUAUGGAAAUUUCAGUGGUUUAGGAAAAAGCCCGAAAGGUGGCUCUGAGUUUACCAGCUGUAAUCUUAACUUGAAUUUCUGGUGAAGAUACAAUUAUUUAUGAUAUAUUACAGUUUUAAUAAUCUUGAAGGAAUUCUGGGCUAACAUUUGUUUUGCCAAUUUCUGUUCAGUUAUCAUCUAUUCAAUCAAUUUAUAUGUUUCCUUUGUAUACUAGCACUGAAUCAAGUUUUGUGGGGAUACCAUGAGGUAGACUUGUUCUCUAUCCUUCACUAAUUGCAGUAUGUUUGGGGAAAAGAACUAGAACGAUUAAAGUAAUUCGAGGGUAAUAUAUUGUAGCAGAAAUUGCUACUGACAGACACAGUAUUAAGGAAAAAUGGGCACAUUCAAGUUUCUUGCAGAAAGUCCCCAAGGAAAAAUAGUGGACUACCGUGAUUUAAGGUGGAAAAGUAGCCAUAGGAGUAAAAACUUGAUGGUGACAACACAUGAGGGAAUGUGGAAGAAACCAUGAUGGCCAGCGAGAAGGGUCAUCUUGGGGAGCAAUAGCAUAGGUUCUAAGUACAUAGCAGAACCCCAUUAUUAUGUAUUAUUUAUUAAAUGGUCCUUGUAUUAUGUAUUAUUUACUAAAUGGUCCUUGUAUUAUGUAUUAUUUACUAAAUGGUCCUUGUCUCUUUGUUGACAACAAAUAUUCUCAUCCACUCCUGUUUCUUUUUUCCCACUUUGAAGCAGCUUGUUCCUGGGCGUAUGUGAAACUGCCUCAUAGCUUUAAUACUAUAAUAGCAUAACAAAUAUUUCAUUGUUUUUCAGAAAGGGUUCUCGUUAUAAUAAAAACCAAUCUAUACCCCAUAAAGCUCAAAAUCUUCCAAAGAGUAGAUGUUAAAAAGCACCCAGUGGAUGAGAGAGUACUAUAAUCUUAUUUUAACUCUUAGGCACACCCCUAAAGAUAGAGCCUUCCUCUCAUUGCCAAUAGCACUAAACUCCUUUCAACAUUGAGGAGGUACCUACUUGUCUUGGGUUGCCAUUUAAUUGAUCUUUAAGUUUUUCUUCUCAAUUGGAUAUAAAGUUUUGAAGACUGGAAUAGGUUUUACACAAAGUUAAAUACACAGCAGAUAUCAUAAAACAUAUGUUUAAUUAAUAGAUUUAUGAGAUUGUGUUUUGUUUCCUUUUUUGUGGAUGAGGCAAGCAUAAUUGUCACCAAAUACACAGCAGAUAUCAUAAAACAUAUGUUUAAUUAAUAGAUUUAUGAGAUUGUGUUUUGUUUCCUUUUUUUGUGGAUGAGGCAAGCAUAAUUGUCACCUCUAGAGGCAAUAUGGAUGGGCAGACUUCAUCCCAUUUCAUACAAAUGCACAGGAAUCAACCAUAUAUUGACCUACUUACUUCAUUUAAGUAUUUCCUAUGAUGACUUUGACUUUGUCCUGACAACCCUAUUAAAGCUAGUCUGUGAAAGCUGGAAGCAAGGUGUCUAAUUUCCUUUGUAGAGAGUAAUAAAUGGUGUUCGCUAGCACACUGCUUUGCAUACAAGAAGUGUUCAACAAAGGGCAAGCAUGAUGAUGAUGAUGAUCUUUUCCUAUCUCAGGGAAAAAAUAAAAGAAAGUAAAUCUUUUGAUUGAUUAUGCUAUCUUUAAUGCUUUUACAGAUUUUAUUCCUUUCAAUCCCUCUGUCAUCUUCUGAUGCAUUGUUUAGGUACACUCUUUGAAGCAGCUUGUUCAUGAGUAUAUGUGAAAUUACCUUGUGACUUUGAUAUUGUUAUGAUAAAUUUUUCACUUUUCUCUAGCUUUGAAUUCCUUUUGGCAUAUAAAGAUUUUUCCUUUUCCUGAGUCAUAAUAUUGUUAUAGAGUCAACAAACAUUUGUACACACUCUUCUUCAUUUCUUCACACAUGUGUAAUAAAACCCCGUUUUUAUCUCAGCUACGAGAAGCCCGAGUGACACUGAAUCAGCUUCAUACAAUAUAAAGUUCAUCAGGUUUAAAAUGGAAGCUUUUCCUCUUUCCUGUACUACAAACGUUGCUUCUGUCACAUCAUCCAGAGAUGGUUAAAAAGUUGUUGCACUUGCUCACUGCAUGUAAUACAAACUGUCACCUUUAACUACAGUACUUUUCUUUUGAAUUAGGAAAGAAUUUGUCAAUGAAUCAUGGAAGAUUUGGGUAUUUAUUGUGAUCUGGGAGCAACUAGAAAAAUAUACAAUUUUAUACCUAGGAAAGUAUGUAUAUAAGAAAAUAAUUUUAAAAAAAGGAAUAAGAUAUUUAUGUACUUGGAGCAAAGGAAUAUAAUUUCAGUGACAUUGUUGCUAUUUCACUGUGCACCUCAUACCUUGACUGACAGAUGAAACAGUCUUGUGUCAAUUUGAAGUGGCUCCUCAUCUCUAAAAUUUCCCUGUGCAGUGAAAUCUCUGGCAGGUUUCUUCAGUUGCCUUGGUGGGAAGGCAGCAAGCAAGAUUACAGAGAGACAGAAAUACCUCCCGUUCCUUUAGCUCUUCACUGGAGUUAUUUUUCUUGUAUUUUCUGUUUUUCUCUCUGGUGGUAUUGAUACUGUAUUUUUUUCUUACUACUAAGUGAUAUUCAGUUUCUGAAAAGCAGUUAAAAUGAGCCCACUACACAUUUAUGCAUUACACAAAGAGAAGAAUGUUGUAAAGAGGGUUCGACACUGAAGAAAUCUUUUUCUUUAGCAUAAAUAAUGCCUUUGUGGUAAGUGAAAUUUAUUUCGGGUAUUUGUCUUCAUUUUUUUGACCAUAAAAUUCUCUAUGAUUUUAUAACCAUAAAAUGUUUUCCUGGAGCAGGAGGUUCUGAACAGAAUUUUAACUUGUCAUUCCGAAUGUUACUUAACCAAAUGGUGUCUCACAAAUUUCUACAUAAGAGACAUUUGUGAGUGGCAAUCUCAUUAGGAGAAGGGAGUGGAAUGCUAAGGCACUGGCCUUGAAGCUGAAAUGUGCAUGGGGCACACACCCUUUUCACUUAGAUUCUAUGUUUCAGAGAAAUAGUAUGGAUGUGGCCGUGAUAGAGAAGCAAAAUAAAGUCACUGGGAGGAGUUUAAAAUUACCUUAUUUCUUCCAGAAAAUAAGGCUACAUGUGUUUCAAAAGUUCCACAAGGACAGGGUAACACCAGCCUCUUAAAGUAAGGACUCUAUGCUUAAGUAACAUUUAGGGCAAGUUAGUUACUUUUCAAUUAAGAAUUUGGCUGAGAUUAUGGAAUCAGUAGCAGGUAAGUAGUUUUAUUAUAAGGACCUAGUUGGAAAUAAAUGAGAAAUAAAAUUAUAAUUAUCUUGAACUGAUCCAAGAGGCUCCGUAUACUGAUUAAUACAUACCCAAAACAGAUUUCUGUGGCCUAGCUACAUUGCUCUUUGUGGAUAGUUUUCUGACUGUAGCAGUGGCUUCAAAAGUAUAGUCGUUAAAAUGGCUCAAACACUUUUUCUAGCCGGGAAAAUGCUACAAAAAAAGUGGGUCUUUUCUAGAAUGUCAUUAACAGAUACUGACAAAUAGUGGAAUGCCAGUACAAACUGUACCUGGUGAGCUCAAUUCGAUACUGGGAGACUGCAUGCACUUUUUAAAUUCCUCUAUCAUCAUUGCAAUACACACAGCUCAUAUUUUUCUCCAGAGAACUGCUCGCCAGGCUCAUUUACUUGUACUGCUAUACUGCUCUUUUGAUCUCUAACAUAAGAAUUACUUAAUGUACAUAUAAAACUAUAGGAUUUUCCUGACUUUAUCUCAUUAAUCUUCUUAACUAAACAAAACCAAUUUGCCUUCUUGAUUCACCUUUAUCCCUCAAUCAAGAGCUUGUUUUCUUACCUUCAGCUCUUUUCCCUUAGUUCAACCUUAGUAGACUCAACUGUCACUCCUCAUUCCCCUAUGCUGUCUUUGUGCCACUGCCGCCGGUCGCAUAGUUGAGAACAGAGUUCUUACCUGUUUACUGACACAUAAAGGGCCAGAUCCUUUUGUUUUUAAUUUAGCAGAUGUUGAGAGAUUAUGCUCCUUUUUUUUUUUUUUUUUUUUUUUAAGAUGGAGUCUGGCUCUGUCGCCCAGGUUGGAGUGCAGUGGCACGAUCUGGGCUCACUGCAAGCUCCGCCUCCCGGGUUCACGCCAUUCUCCUACCUCAGCCUCCCGAGUAGCUGGGACUACAGGCGCCCGCCACCACGCCCUGCUAAUUUUUUGUAUUUUUAGUAGAGACGGGGUUUCACCAUGUUAGCCAGGGUGGUCUCGAUCUCCUGACUUCAUGAUCCACCCGCCUCGGCCUCCCAAAGUGCUGGGAUUGCCAUGCUACAUUAUUAUUACUAUUAGUCUUUGUUUUAAAAUACCAAUAUUGCUUAAUUCUGGUCUCACAAGGGGAAUGUUACCAUAUAGGACCCACCAGUUCUCCUUACGAGCUUUCCUUGCCUUCAGGUAAUAUCCAAUCAUGGAAACAAAAACAUAAAAUUAUAAAAGAGCCAGAAGUCUUGGCGGCAGAUUUCCCAGAGAAAUCCUGAGAGUGAAUAAAGGUGGUCAAUCCUGACCCCGUUUCAAUUCUUUACAACAGAAAAGCACAGCCCUAUGAUUUUUCAUGAUAAUUGCUUGUGCUCCUUGCUCACAUUUGUUUUCAGGGGGAAAAGUGGAAAUCCAGCCCAGUUGCUGAAGCCCUCAUUUUAGGUACUCCAUAUUUUCUUACCUGUACUUUUUCCUACCCAGCUGUGCUGUUUUAACCUAAAAGGAUCACUAAAACAGGAAUGAAGACAUCCUUAGAGAAAUCACAAUCAUUGUCUUCUCGAUUCAUUUUUCUUUUCCUUGUGAUGGGCUACUUUGGUCAUAGUUGGGGGGCUGGGAGUGGCAUUUACUCUGGAAAAUGGAGAAAUGCAAAAACCAUGUUGAAGAAGAAGAAAUACCCCUUAAAGGUACAAGUGAAAUUUUGUUGAGAGAGCAUAUAAACCCAAGGUCUGUGUGAAAAAUAAAGAGAAGUGGGAUGAAAACUUGUGCAGGUCUACUCAGCAAGAAUAUGUAAGGAUUUUAUCAGAGCUCAUAUGAACUCUUUCUGCAAUUCAGUAAUACUGUCCACUUCUAUUCUGAGAACAUCUGAACUCUUGGGUGCAAUGAAAACAGGGGAAUCAUUCUUUCCCUUCACUGAUAGAAUUUUCAUGUACUCUGAAUCUGCCUACUAACCUGAAUAUUUCAUUUAUGACAUUUAUUCCUUUUUCUCUGUCUCUAAAUUUUUUACUACAUACACAAAGUAACUUGUUUAAGGAUUUUAUUUUUAUUUGCUAAUUAGGUGUAAAUCACUCAUUAUCAUAACUCAAAGUGAAACCUUUCUUCAGAGUCUCUUCCACCAGUUAGUAAUAUAUCUGCCAUAUUUUGUCUCCUUAAUCACAGUGAAAAUAAUUGGAAUUUUUCUCAUGAAUUAUUUAUUCGUUUUCCUUAGUAGAAUGUAAGCUUCAUAAAGACAUGACAUUUGCUCACUGCUCUACUUAUCACUUCCACUCUUUGCCAAAACAGUGCUGGCACCUAAUAGGCACUUCAUGAUGGAAUGAGAAUGGAUCCAUCCAUUAAUCAAUUAAUUAGAAUAUUGUUAGAUCUUCCUAGUCAAAGAAAAAUCACAGUUUACAUAAUUUUCUGAAAAAGUUCUCAGUGUAGCAGUUCUGCAACUUCUAAUUUAUUUUGUUUUUAUACCUUUAAGUUUUUUUUCCAAUUAAGACCUAAUUGAAUUUGGGUAUAUCUAGUUUAUUCACUUAAUUUCAAAUAAAGUCUUAUCCCUAUUUGUCCAAUUCCUGUUAUUCAUCUUGACUUUUUCCUCUCCUAUAAUUGUGUACAAGUAAUUUAUUUACAUUUUACCACUUUAAAUGACAACAUUGCUGAUUAUAACUCAGAACCCAGUGGCUUGAGUCCAUUCUGUCUUGAUGCUUGAGUAAGUUUCACUCAAUCUCAUAAAAGCUUUAUCUCAUUACAUUAUAUUUCACUAGAAAACAGUAUUUGAAGGAUGCUACAUAGAAAUGAAUUAAAUUUAAACCUUUGAUUGAAAUGCUCCAUGACUGUGUUCACAUAUUUCCCUAUCUACAAUACUAUUAAGAGAUUCAUUUGACACAGCAUUUCCUUUGCCUUCAAUUUAAAAAAAAUUCUUUAAACUUUGCAUACAUUAAAAAAUUAAGGCUGUUUAAGAUUCCAAAUGUUAUUUUGAUGUGUGCUGGCUUUCAAACAGUAAAUAAUUACUUUUAAAAUGAAGCCUAGUGGUCUACAUAUUAUUUGACCAAACCAAUUCACUUCAAUAUAGUAAUGUCUUCGAGGUAUGCAAACAUCUAAUUCCUGAUUACACUAUCCUGACCUUAACUAAUCAUGUUUUAUAUUUGUAUCCACUAUUGUAAUGGCUAUAGGCAUCCACCUCCUUUCCUCAGCCCAGUAGGAAGGACUAAUAUAAAAUGUGUCAUUUGUCUUUAAAUCAAUUUUAUUUUUAUAUUGCAAAAUGAAUGGAGAUAAUUUGGGUAAGUGUAAGUUACAGAAAGUAAAAUAUAAGCAUCAUAUUGGCAAUGGCUACUGUUCUUUUCAAGCAAAUUUUUUAUCAGAAUAAAGAGAUUUCAUUUUGAGUUUUGUUUUCUUUUAGUGCUUCUGUCCAAAUAUAUGAAGAUUGAAAUAAAUAGUAAAAUAUAUUUGAUUGAAAAAUUAGAGGAGUAAGCUAGAAAAUCAAGUGGUUAACAUAAUACAUUAAAACCAGCCACUUCAUAAUAGAAAGUUUCAAACCUUUAAAUAAGAUAAUAAUCAUAAACAUAAAUCAAUGAAAAGGCUAUAAAUUAUAUACAAUGCAAAGUUUGGACCUUUAUGGAUGUUUUGAAACUAUCUGUGAGGAAAGUACCAUUUAAAGUAGACACACUGAUAAGGUCAAACCACUGCCAAAUAAGAAGUAUUGCAUUUAAUCCGAGGAUGCCACCUACUGAAAGAUAACUUCCUAACCCCUCUAUUUAAAAGUACUGUUGACCUCUACCACUGUCAACCCUAUUAUAUGUGCAGCAUAGGAAAUACAUGGCUGGAAUAAAAGGGCCGUCCUCAACCUUCAAACAGUUCAAAAGAAUUUGGAAUAACUUGUUCUUAGGUGUUUAAUAAAUUGCUUUUCCUUUCUGCAUAUAACUCUCCUUAAAUAUAAAAAGAGGGUAGACCACAUAACCUCUAAAUUUCUUUUCUUUUCUUGAUUUCUAAGUUAGAAGCAAAAUGAGGUCAUGUAGGAAUAACUUGAAUGCAGUAUUGCCAGGAAGUUUGCUUGGGUAAUCAUUAUCCCCCCAUAUUUCUAAAAAUGGUUGUGAAUCAAAUAAGGCAAAACCAGGCUUACUUAGCAUUCUAUUAACUAGACAUUUCUAUUAACUAGCAUAGAAGGCAAAAAUCUCUUAGUUUCAUGUUUUAACUCCAUGUUUAAAAAACAAGAGUGGAAUAAAUAUACUAAUAUUGGAAGAUACUAAAAGCAACAUCCAACCUUUGACAAAAAACAGAUUCAACUUGAUUUGUUAUUCCUUCUAUUGAGAUAAUAUUGAGAUACAACCAAGGGAUAGAAGGCAUUGUAUGUCACAUAAACUUAAAAUAUAUUCAGUUUGCUUGUUGUAGUAAGCAUAUUAAAUUCUGAGUUAUUGAAAAACUUACAAGUAGAAUAUAUGAAAUAUUAUAGCUACUAAUCUAACUCUUUGGAUAAUCAGCCCCUGCUAGGUAAAACUUUAUUUUUAUUUUGGGUUUUAAGAUGCAGAACUAGAAGCAGUAGACAAUGGGGUAGGACUCCAAAAUCUGGAAUUCUCCUCACAGGCACUGGACCACGUUUUCAGUCCUGACUCUUUUGUUUAAAUAAUUGUUCUAAAUGUGAUUUGUUGGCAAAUAUUAUGGCUUUACUUCUAAGCAGCAGCCCACCCAUCAAUAAAAAGAGGGUAAAUGUACUUGCUUUACAGGGAAGUCAUGAUGACUAAAUGUAAAAAUUGAUGUAAAAAAUUAUGUAGAUGAGUAAACUAGUUAAGUGUCAUUGAAAAUGCAAGGUGGCAUUAUUUCUAAAUGGCUUAUAAUAUUUGAGUCCUAAUUAUUGCAGUCAUAUGUUUGCAGUUCUUUUCUUUGAAAGUGUAAUUAAGUUGCUUCUUCAUCAAAACAUAUAAAAUGAAUUUAUGUAUCAAAGCUUCAUCCUAUAUUUGCGGAGAGGAAGCUUUCUAUUUAAAGCAUUGUGAAUUGUGAGUAAAGAUAAUUUUAUUGAAAAACAAGUGCUUUUUUUUUUUACUCAAAAAUGUGUUUCUAAUAGAUGGUAGGGUUUAGGUAGGAAUAUUCUCCUUUUUUGUGUGUGCCUAAAGCUCUGAACACAGUGCAGUUACUCAAUAAGUGAUGGUUGAUAUGGAAUUUGUGGGGUGAAUCAGAAGGAAAGGAAAUUGACAACUCAGCCCAAUCAGUACAAUUCUGUGUUUUAUUCUCUGACAUAACUAGUGAACAAGUCAAAUUAUCUUCCUGUUAUUUUACUUGAAAAGUCUAUUCUUAAUAGUCACAUGUGUGUUUUCAUGUAUUUCCUCUUUUUAAGUCUCUUAACUAUUCAGACUUGAAUCCAUUAUUUGUUACACACUAGAAUUUCUGUUCUACCUCCACAUGUAGAGUUGAUAAAUUUGUUUUAUUUAAAAAUACUUAGGUCCAACUGACCAAGGAUAAAGUAAAAUCAUACAUUUCCAGUCAUUAUACUUCUUUGAAAUGAAGAUGCAUUCAAGAUUUAAAAGCCUUAAAAGUUUACUCAGAUUAGCAUGAUCAUUCUCAGACCAAAACAAAAAAAAUCACUCACUAUUUAGUAAAUGCAACUCUUAUUCUGUGUCAAGCCCUAUGGAAAGCAAUUGAUGCAUAUAGUAUUUUACCAUAAUUCCCAAAGUAAGUGGUAUUGUGCCCAGAGAGAGGUUGAGCAAUGUGCCAAAUGUCACAAAGCUAGGAAGGCAUGACUGCAGGAUUUAAACUCAGAUCAGGCCCCAGAGCCCGUGUUCUUAAUCUCUGCACCCUUUACUGCAGUCAUCCCCAAAAGAUUGCUCAUGUGGCAUGAGCAUGGACCCUGGAAUAGGUUCCCACAGCCCUUAAAAGUCCAUCAUCUUUAGUGAAAGCCUGAAUGUUCACCUUAGGAAGACUUUCAUUUAACUUAAAUUUUUUAUCCCGUAUUAAAUAUUGAUGAUCCCAACUCGGAGGAAAUUUUACCUCCAUGAAGAUAUGUGAUCCUUAUGUCUAAUUACAUUUAGUUUUCGUGAAAUAAACUUACAUAUAAAUUUACUCUUGCUAACUAAUUAUCUGGUCUUUUACCUACUAUUCAAUGAGAAUAUUACAUGAAAAACAUUGUAGAUAUACUGAGAAGAAUAAGGUAAGAACCUUAUUCCAAGAAACUUUAAAUUAAUUACAUAGAUUCACAUACAAUGACAAACAACAAUACAAUGAAGAAUGGAAAAGUGCUGCAACCCAGAUGUAAGUCAUGGUGUUCUCAAGAAGCAUGCAAAGAGCAUUUAAUUCCAGCUGUUGGCAUGAGGAAGGCUUCAAAGAUAGAAGAGGGAUAGAGGGAUGCUUUGGCUAUUUGAUGAAAAAAGAAGGGAAUUCCAAAAUGAAGGAUUGACACAAUCACGGCACAGAAUUUUCAAUGUGCAUUUUGGAGAAUGGUAAAUGAUCCAGUGUAUUUAAAACAUGGCACUCAUGGAGAGUUGUUGGGAAAGGCAUGCUAAAGGGAAACCAAGUCAUUGGAGUCUUGACUGAAUAGUGAGGUAAUUAGCACUUGUUUCCAUAAACAGAAUGGAGGCAUUGAGGUAUUUGAUGGUGGCAGUAACUAUCGAACCUUCCUUUUAGGACAAUAACAAAGGUAGCACUGUGGAAGAAGAUUUGAGGACCGGAAAAGGGAGAAAAUUUUGCCACAAUUCAAAAAGGACAUCAUGGCCUGGCACAGUGGCUCACACCUAUAAUCCCAGCUCCUCAGGAGGCUGAGACGAGAAGACCACUUAAGCCUGGGAGGUCAAGGCUGCAGUGAGCUAUGAUCAUGUCACUACACACUAGCCCAGGCAACAGAUUGAGACACAGCCUGUUGUGUUUUGUUUUGUUUUAAAAAGGACAGAAAAAAAUCUUGCAAUGGCAGAGAGAAUAAAAUAGAAGAGACAGAAGGGAACUUGCAGAAAUAAAACUGAAUGAACGUAGUAUGAUCAUUGUGCCUUCAGAAGCUUGUCCGUAGUCACAAGGUGAAGUGGAUACAUGUAGUGUUUGUAUGUCUUUCCAUUAUUUGUCUCCCAUCCCAGCGCUAUCACUUUAACCUCCCCAAAAUAGACAUUAAGCAGUGGGGCUUUCAAUUUACCAAAAGAAAGUUUCUCUUAACAUCAUAACAUCAUUUAAUUGUAAUUAGAAUAAAUGCCCCUACCAAGGAAAGUGUUUAGGAAUUAAACUAAGAGUGAUCUGGAUAGGGUGGGACUAUAUUGAUUUUUAGAUUGUAUUUUCCUCCCUGUUUCUCUUAGAUCACACCAUAUGUGUACCCCUAGUUCAGCAUGUUCUUUCAUCAAGUCAAAGACAAAAGAGAAAAAAAGAUGCAACAGUCUCUGGACUCCUCACCACCACAUCCGUUUGCUCUCCUUGGCUCUUGAUAAAUAGAAUGGUGAAGACCCCAAGGGAAAUCCCCUUGUCUGUAGUUUCUGCAUUGCACAACUGCGGGGACACAAUUCACAGAACAAUAUGAUAGGAUACAAUGUAAGAGCUUCUCCUGCACUCUCCCAGUCUUGUUCUUGAGUUUUCACCCUCCCAGGCUUACCCACUAUUUCUGCUCUUCUCCCUCAAAUUUUCAUCUUACAGUCUUUACUGUUUCACAAUGCAAACCCUAGUAAAUCAUAAAAUCACUCACAGGCCAAAUAAAAACAGUAGCUAUUUUUGAUUAAGCAUUGGACAAAGUAUGAUCUGCUUUAGAAGUCCUGCUUCUGGCUGCCUCCCAAUCUUUUGUUUGUAUGUUUCAAUCAAGACAUCUGCUGUCUAGUGUUAUUUCAGAUAAUAAUCUUAAUAUUAAGAAAUGAUUCAGAAUAUCCAGCCAUACCAAAGCAAAAAGGCAGCAUACAAUCUCUUAAGAGAAGACAUAAUUAAGUUAAGGAAAACAGAGAGUUGCCAUUUUUUAAGAGUGAAUAUGCAUGUCCAAAUUACUUCAAUUAGCAUAACCACAUCUUUCCAGAACAGUUGGCUAAUAUCAUGGCCUUCCUCAUUAGGAUUCAACUUCACAAUUGUGAAUAACAACUACAAAGAAAACAAAAACAAAGAAAACUGAAAGAUAAUCCUAUAUUUUAUUGUUAAUCAAGUGUAACCUUCUUUACUUUUUUUCUUCUUUGUCCCUCCCUUCAAUAUUUCAAGACUAGGAAGAUAAAUAACAGCAGGUUUAAUACUAUUGACAGAAGACUUUCUGCUAUGUAAACCUGAUUUUUCUACAAAUGCAUUAUGGCCAUUGGGGACGGUGAGAGCAGGAUUGAAGAUUCAUUAAUAUAUCCCCAUAAGCAAAGAGCAAAUGAAUCUCAGGCUGUUUCUCAGAAUGUUUGGAAUGACUCACUCAACAAGCUGUCUAGAUCCCUUCUGGCUGGAAAUAUCAGAACUAGAAUUGAAUAAUCUCAUAUUAAAAAUGAAGGAAAAAGUACAAAUUUACUCUGUGUUUAUAUUGUAAAUUGGCAUUAUAUUUAAUUGCAAAUGUACUGCAAAUGCUUACUUUAUUUUGAUUAUUAUAUGAUUAAGUAUCGGUUCCGUGUGGAAAUACUUUAUUUUGUUUUUGGACUGAAUUUUGUGGUUAUGAAAGUUAUAGAAGAUUUUGAUAUGAGGUGACAUUUCUAUUGGGUCUUUAUUUCCAAAUGCAAUAGUGGUACAAAAUGGCAGCCUUAGAAAUUGACUUAUGUAUUCUUUCCCCAGCUACUUGCAAUUAAACUAAACUCAGACACAUUUUUGUGCUUCAUCUCUAUUUUGAAGAGGAAAAUGUUACAUAUGACAGGACAUAAGAGCUGCCAUCUGGUCCCGGUAAUUCUUCCACGUCUUGUUUAUCUAUUAGGUAUAGAACAUCUUGUACAAUAACCACGAUUUGAUCUAAUAGUUCUCAUCUGUUUCUCUUGUCUGUUUACAAAGACAUUUAGCAAAUGAGAAUCUCCUUAACAUUUUCUUUAAAAAUGGGCAAACAAAAAUCAUUUAAUAUCUCAGCCUGCUAUCUUCCCCCGUAAUGACCGAACAAGAAUUUAUGCUCUUCCAUGCUCUCUUUUGACUCUGUAGCAUACCUUCUGUCUCACGUUUGUCACCUGGGUCCACAGUCCUAUCCGCGUGUUCCUUCCAUUUUUUUUCUUGCCUCAUGUUGCCAGUGAAGAACUAACAAAUAUUUUUGUGACUAAGAAAUUGCAUUUUAUUAAAUGCAAAAAAGCUAAAUAGAUGAUUGAGGGAUUAAAUUGUAGAUACUAUUCUUUUACAUUUUUUAAAAUUUUUAAAAUUAUCAUGUAUGAUUUUAACCUAUGGUAAGUGUUGUGAAGGAGAAAAUGUUAUGGGAAGUGAGUGUAACAGUGUACUGAGAGGAGCAAGAACUGACUUAAAGCAAAGUGGUCUUUUUUUGGAGUGAAUAUGUAUAUUAAGAACUCUUAUAUUGCUAUAAACAAAUUUUUCUGCAACUAUUAGUUAAUAUCAUGAGUCUUUCCCAUCAUGAAUCUUUCCCUUCAGGAUUCAAUUUCAAAUUAGAAAUAAGAGCUAUAAAGGACAAAUUUUAAAAGAAUCCUGUUUAAGUUUGUUUGGUUUGGGCUUUUAUUUUUUUAAAUUUUGUUGCCAAACGAUGUAAGGUAUAUAACAGGACAGCCACACUAAUCUGGAAAAUCUGGGAGGACUUAUUUGAGAAAGUGACUUCUGGUCUUAGAUCAGAAGGCUAAGUGGGAGAGAAUGUUCCAACAUAGGGAACAACAGUUUGAAAGCUUUGAGGCAGAAAGAAUUGCAUUUCUGAAAACUAAAAGGCCAGUUGAAACACAGUGAACGUGGUGCAAAGUGAGCCUGCAACAAGAGGCUGGAGCCAGGUCAUGGUGGGCCUUGUAGGCCAUAGUAAGUAUCUUGGUGCUUAUCUUAAGAGUGAUGUGGUGCCACUGAAGAGUUUUAAGCUGCUAGCUGUAAUGUGAACAAGGACACCAAACCUGCUGGAACAGCAUUUUUAAGGUUAAAGUUUAACCCCAAGUUUAACUAAUGGAGACAAUAUCAGGAGCAGGUGCAUUUGUAUUCUAGAACAGCCGACAGAGAUUUAUCUAGGCCAGAUACCAGACUUCAGGAGAAGCCCCUACCCUUGAUCUGCGGGGCUUUGAAGCUGCAUGAUUACAGAAGCACUGUGUAAGCAGGAGCAGGAAAACAAUAGUAAUAUUAUGAGGCAGAAACUGGGCCUCAGUCCUAGUCAGCAUUUUAUGGUUGUAGGUAGGACCAACCUCUCCUGUCAUUUGGCACUGAGGUUCACAAAUAUAUGAUGUCACAAGGAAGCAGUAGAAUUCUCCACUUUAAAAUGUUCCUGUUUGGGGAAGCAUAGGCCCCUCUUUUGGAAUGAGAAGGGCCUGGAAAUCAAGCCUUGUGAGUGUAGUUGGUCAGAAUGGAGUACUUUAAGUUUAGGGCUUUAAACUCAAGGUCUUAGCCCACUUUCAGGAAGCUUUUCAGAAGACCCUGGGGAAUCUUUUUUGGAAAAAUUAACCCUUACCUCUCAUCAACAGCAUGCUUGAUGUUGUGUAUCAAAAAAAUAAAAAUAAAAUAAAAAAUAAAAAAUUAGCCAGUCCUGGUGGUUCAUGCCUGUAAUCCCAGCGCUUUGGGAAGCUGAGGUGAGAGGACCGCUUGAGGCAAGUAGUUUGAAACCAGCCUGGGCAACAUAGCAAGACCUGUCUCAAAAAUAAAUAAAUAAAUAAAUAAAUAAAUAAAAGUAAAAUUGGCCAGAUUUAAUAAUAAGCUGGUUAUGGGGUGUUGGGAAAAGAGAAGUUGUAAGGUCAAUUCCCAGAUUUCUAGCUUGAACUUUGUGGAUGGAGCUUCCUUUCCCUGUAAGAAAGAAUAUUUGUGAAGAUCCAAAUUUGGGAAGCAAGAUCAUGAAUUCAGCUUUGGAUAUGUGGAGGAGGCAGUCAAUUCAAUGGGAUAAAGGUCAGACAUGAUAUAUCUUGCUUUUAGUGCAGGCAAAAUGAAAAAAGCCACUUAUCAGGAAAAAACAACCUUACCCCUUUACUAACCAUAGUCAGGAAAAGAUUGAGGCCUGAAAACAAAGGAAUCCACUCUCUUAUUCAUAGCACCAUUGUCACCAGAGUGUUGAUAGCUUCUCUUCAGCCUCUUAGAAUUCUCUCAAGUAAUUUCCUUCGGGGUUGACAUUUAUCUUCUGAGUCUUAGCCUUGAAAUGUGUCUGUAGAGAAAGCAUCCUAGAGAUUCGUUGUUAGUCUUGCAUUAUGCAAGCAUAGAUUUGAAGACCAGAUAUUACAACUUAGUAGCUUUACUGAAAAUGUUGUCAUUUUUAUCCAAGCUCCAGGUCACUCUCCUCUGUUCACCAACAGGGUUCCAUGAGUUUGAGGCUGCAAGAGCACUAAAACCUGCUGACUGCUCCCUUUAUCCCUGGUCUCUCUUGACCUGCUGCACCCUCAUCUCUUACUUGCGCCAAGUCUAGAAGUUCAUCUGCCUACAGGGAAUGAGUUAUCAUGUGCAAUAUGUUCCCAAACACCUCUUUAGGGUCUUUAGGGUGCUUUACUAUAGUUUUAAUAUGUUCCCUGGAUGAACUGUGGGGUAUAUGUGUGUGUGUGUGUGUGUGUGUGUCUGUACUAAACUAUAGCGCAUAUGCAUUGAUAUAAUUUGUUAUCUGAAUGGAAAGAUUACUCUUCUGUAAUGCAGUUUUCAGAUUUUUAAUAUAUUGUUUCAUUCUUUGAUACUAAUCCUAUCUAAGUUUCUUAGCUUUAAGAGCACUUGAAGAGACAGUUUGAGAUAUUUAUUUUCUCUGUGCAAUGUUGAAAGACUUGGUUGAUUGUGGUAAGACAGGUUUUGAAAAGGAUAUUUCAGUAACUCAGUGGUAGAUGUCAAAGCACUUAUGUAUAUGUAUAUUGUGCAAGUGUCUGCUGCGUUUAAUAAAAAUUAAAGUUUUUAGUGAAUAAAUAUUCAAAUUACAUGAAAACAUUAUGUAUAAACCUAUUAUUUAAAAAUGUGACAUAUAAUUGUUUAAACAGUAGUUGAUUUAGGAAUCUAUUAAAAAUAGUUAUGAAAAAAUGAGGUCAUCAAUUCAAAACUUUUACAUAUCUUAAAGAUAUUAUAUAUUUCUACAUGAAAAAAGGAGCUGAAAAGACUGGAGCAAGCAAAAUAAUUUAAAUAUUUUAUCUUCUCUAUUUUUAGUGUCUUUUCCUUGUGGAGCAUAAAAUAGUCCCAGAAUAAGCUGCCAGUCAAACGUCAUCUACUCACCUUAACUAAUGCAUAGAAAGACAGGUAGGAUCAGGAAGACCAUUUAUUCUUAUAAGAUGUGUAGCCAUUUGCUUGGUUCAAGUGAACAGGUCUUAAUUAGCAGAAACUCUCCAAGUUCCUUCAAUAACUAUGCUCUUGCCCUUCCAAAAUUCAACAGACAGUGUGUGAAGUUCAAAGUAAAGCCAGUUUUAACAACCUCAAGUCUUCAAUUUUUAAAAGAUGAUUCAGUGGUAACUUUAGUUAACUGGCUAAACCUCAGUCUUUAGAAAUACGGAGUAGGCAGGAAGAAAGUGUAAGUGUCUUUUGCAUAUAAGCAUUUUUUUCUUUUCCAUGAUUGCUUCCAAAGAGAAUUAAUUUUAUCCUUGAAACCCCGUCUCAACUAAAAAUAUGAAAAAAUUAGGUGGGUGUGGUGGUGGGUUCCUGUAAUCUCAGCUACUUCAGGAGGCGGAAGCAGGAGAAUCACUUGAUCCCAGGAGGCAGAGGUUGCAGUGAGCCAAGAUCACGCCAUUGCACUCCAGCCUGGGUGACAAGAGCAAAACUCUGUUAAAAAAAAAAAAAAAGAGUUGUAUAAAGUUGUAUAAGUAUAUCUUGAUAAUUGAGACAGCAUAUAUAAAAACAUGUUAACGAUUUGAUAUGUGAAAGGACAGAUGCCUAUUGAUCCUAAAUACAUUGAAUUGAAGAGUUGACUUGCAGGUAUAUUUCUCUCUAAUGGCUGACUAUUCAAACCUUGUGUGAGAAGAAAAGGUAUUCGGAAACGGGCCGAUGUGCUUAACUCUACAAAAUGAUAGCAGAGCAUCAGAUUAGCAUCAUCUCUAUUCUUAGAAAAGAAAUAAACUAACAAUUUUCUAAUAUCACUGUAUUUGAAAGAACAAUUUAGACUAUGAAUGGUGGAUCUACUUGAAAUUCACAAACUACUUUGCUGUAUCAAGGUUUUAGUUUUCAGGCAGGUCACAUUAUAUUCCACACAUGCAUCUUAAUAUAUGGUGUGUUUUUGUCAUUAUAAUGUGGAUGACAUUAUUCUGACUAAAUUAGCACUAUAAUGGGGACCUAUGAUAUAUAUGAUGAAAUUGUAAAUUCUUUUCAUAGGUUUUGAAAGGGUAAUAUUUGGGUUAAUUUAUACCGAUUGUGUGGUCAGGAUCAGAUUAAGACCUCUGAGAACCGUAAAUGUUAAAGGCAUUAUGGUACCUCCUUUCCUACCCCAGUAUGUGUUUUACUUUGCAUCUUUUCUUGUCAAUUAAAUAGAAAACCUCUGCAAGUGCGGGAGAAAGCCAGCUCUACAGCUGCGACAUCAAGCCUCCCCUAAUCUUCUUCCUUCAUUCCUGCCUUCAUGAUUGACUCAAAGUAAAGCCUUAAUAUUAUCCUGGAGCACAUUUCUUCCAUAAGUGGGUUUUCAUACUGAUUUUCUUUUUAUUUUAUUUUGAUUUUAACUUUCUGUUAUAUCAAUAAUAAUAAGCUUAGUUGUUUUAUAAGCAGUCAAAAUUUAAAGCAUAGCGUUAAUCAGCAACUCACAACAGUUUGCAAAAAUUAUUUGACCCAAAAUAAAUAGUGAUAGAAAAAACAAGUGCCACAGAAAUUUGCCCCAAUGCAUGACCUGCAAUUUUGUAAACACAAAAUCAUCCUAAGUGUUGUGUUUUUGGAAUAAGAAUUUGGGAUGAUCAAUGCAGGAACAGAAAACCAAAUAACACAUGUUCUCACUUCUAAGUGAGAGCUAAAUGAUGAGAACACAUGGACCCAUAGAAGGGAACAAUACACACUGGGGCCUAUCAGAGGGUGGAAGGCAAGAGGAAGGAGAGAAUAAGGGAAUAUAACUUAUUGGCACUAGGCUUAAUAUCUCAGUGAUGAAAUAAUCUGUACACCAAACCUCCACAACACAAGUUUACCUGUGUAACAAACCUGCACCUGUACCCUUGAACUUAAAAUAAAAGUUAAAAAAAUAAAUUUGAGAUGAUCUCCGAAAGUUCUACUUCAUUCCAAGGAUGAAUAGCAAAAAGAUCCUGAAGAAUCUUUGCUACUUGGAAAUCUUAAUUAGAAUAUUUUAAAUAUAUUUUUAAAGACAUUUUUGACAUUUGAUCACUUCUCUAACUCUAGUAGGUAGGGUAUGGUGCAAACAGUAGGAGAGGGAUCUACUCUAAGACUUGAAGAGCCUAAACAAGGAUCAGAGUGGAAGGCUGGAUUGCUGAUCCACAUGGCUCCAAUUCUCUUCUUGUGAUCCCAUCCCACACUAAAUUUCCUCUCUUUUCACUUCCCUUCCUUCUCUUUUCACUUAACUCCUUACCGUUCUCCUCCUCUUCCCCCUUCUCUUUCUUGUUUUCUUCUCUUUCUUCUCUCACUAAUUGUUAUUUUAUUUUAUUCUCUGCUUACUCCCUUUCAAGUAGAAAACCAAGUUAGUACCAUUUUCAGAAGUUUCCACUUUUCUGACUCUUGCCUUUAAACACUCCCCUGCGCUUCUUUGUCAUGCUUCUGUUUUGCUGAAGCUUUGAAAGUAUCUCUUAGAAAGGCCCUCCAUAACCUAUCUCAGGUUCUAUUGUUUUCUCUCCUUUUUUUUUUUUUGAGAAUAGUAAAGAUUGCUUGAUAUAUUUCAAGUGAGAUGUGUUCCCUAAACUCCUGGAGUUUUAUUUUACCCUUACAGAUCCAAUUGUUUUAACAUAUCUUAAUAGAACACAGUAACAUUUGGCUAAUGAAUAUUAGACAUGCACAGUAAUUGAGGGCUAGCUUGUUUCAAUCCCAUUAGUAGGAUCAUAUACUGACCCAGCUUUUUACUGUUUGCGAAUAAAAAGCAACUUAUGAAGCUUCUUUCCUAGUUUAUUGUUGCCAUAAAAAUAAAACCCCAGUCAGACUAUGUGGACUAUCUUUGUUGAAUAUUAAAUAAGUUAAGUGGUGACCCAAACCAUUUCUCUCUCAAAAAAGAAUGGGGAAUUUAUUUAAUGGUACAGAAUGAUAAACACUAAUGUAGCAAUUACAUAGUAAUGUUCUCAAAUAUCCCAGUCUAUACAGUAAUGUAACAUGUAUGAAGCCCUGAAAAACUGUCCCAGAGUUUUCUCCUAUUCUCUGGAAAGUGACUAGGAAAUGUGCUCUACUAGGAUCUGGCAACUGGCAAGCCCUCAUUUCAACAAAGAAAAUCUAAAUUUUCUUUAUGUGUCUCAGUUUUUGUCAGUGUUUGAGGCAUGAACCAUGUCUGAUUUAUUGGUUCUAAGUGUAGCAUUGAGCAACAAUGCAAGGAAGGAACAGAGAAUAGAAGUAAACUGAGGCAGAUCUUGAGAGCAAAUGAAAUUUCUUAUUGGUUGAGUCAAUUUUCAUUAAAGAAAAAUUACAGGAGCAAAAUUAUUAAGGAAGUUUCCAGUAGGAAGCAUCUCAGAAUAGGCUCUUGCCAUUAAAAAAUAAAUCUUUUUUUUUUAUUUUUGGUACAAAGGCCUAAAAUAAAUUCUUUGGAUAUAAGAGGACUUCCAAUAACAAUAAUAAAUUCAAACAGCAAAACCAUAUGGAGAAAAAAGAAAAAAAAAGAAGCUUCUCCAGUUAUAAGUUAAUACACAAUAUUCAUAAAGUCAUUCAAUAUAUAUCUCACUUAGCUGAUGUUCCAUUGUAAAUAUAUUAGUAGGAAAUACAAAAGACCAUAAUAAAUCUUAAAUUGCCAUAAUUAGGAAAUAUUUCUUAAAUUACCAUAAUAACAUCCCUAUAAGUAUGCUAUGACCAUCUUUAUUUUACAAAUGGAAAAGCAAAUUCUAAGAGGUACUUAUCUGCCUAUAUAAAAUAAUCUGCUUACUAAAUGGCAGAAUCAAGAUUUGAACUAAAAUCUCAAUUCUAAAUUCCUGUAUUUGUCCUCAGAAUCACAUUGUCUAAACAAACAGAGCUAGAGAUCAAGUCAGUGCAAAAAAAAUGUAGUGCAACAGAAUAUUUCUUUGUUUUCUCUGCACUCAAGAAAAACUAAAAUAUUUUUAGUGCGAAAAUAUUCUUUUGCACUGGUUUCUAGCUUCCUCACAAUCAUAAUGUAUAAUUAUCCUUCUGUUGUUAUUGUUUCUGUUUUCAAUAUCUGCAACUUUGGAAUCCAACUAGUGUAAAACUCUCUUCACCUACUUCCAGAUACAGAAUUAACUCUAAACCUUUAUUGAUUUUGGUUUUGUGUAUUUACUUAGAACAAUUCAAUCAGUCUGUACAAAGUGUACAAUCAUGUGAUAUUUUAUUCAGAGAAAAAACAGAGUAACCAUGAAAAGCACCCAUUUGAGUCUUUAGGUCUUAUGGUUUAGAUUCACCUUUUUGCUGAGUAAAAUGAAUACUGAGAGAAAAUGGAAGCAGAAAAUAAGGAUUUAAGGAAGAAAAGUGGGAAGGAAGAGAAAUGCUCAGGAUCCAGACCCUUGGCUAGAGCUGAGUAAAAAAUCUCACAAAAAAAGGAGAUUUUGCUUCAUUUUCUUCUUCUCUAUGGUCUGCCCUCCGUGCUAAUGAGAAACCCCCAGCUCCAGAACUAAUAUCCUCACUCUCCACUCAUGAAUCAUAACGGACUCAGUGAGGCUCCCACUCUCAUCCUGUAUCCAGUAUGGCAUUGCUAUCUGCCCUCUGGGAGACUUGAGUCAAUUCCCACUUUCUGCCUUUGCUUCUGGUCAAAGAGAAUGGGGAAGAUACUAAGGAUGAGAAAAGAGGUAAUGAUGAAAGAUGAAAGAUCUGUGAGAAGACCAUUCAUGGAGAAACCCAUGCCCUGGAAAGAGAGAGAAUGAGGGAGACAUAGAGGUUGUUGGGGCAUGAGGUUUGGUCAGGUGGUGAAGGCCUAGAGUUCUGUGGAAAUAUGAUGGAAACUUCAUUUUCAUAGCAUCUGUUAAGCAUGUGUAUUUUCCAGAGCGUGGUUCAUGUGUCCUUGGCAGGGAAAGCUGAUGUCAGCACAAUCUCAGCAUUACCACUGGGAUAUGAAUAAAGCGUAAAUCAGGGAUUAAAUGGGAGACUUGCUAAUAAAUUUGAGGGAGAUACACACUCUGAUUAGAAUGGGCCAUCCUCUAGAUUUAAGCAAAGAAAGUCAAUGAAAAACACUUCAGAUAAUUUCUCAAGCAAAAUGGUGGCAUUAUUCACGGCAACAGGGGAUUUGUUUAUGGGAAAUUGUGUGUGAGAGAGAAUACCCAGAUAGCCUGGUGAAGAGCGGCUGCCCAGCACACAGCACAAAGUGGCAAGAAGCAUACCGUGUCAGGUCAGAGGACACCAUCGAGACAACUCCAGGCCUGCCCUUGUUUAGGAUUCAGCUGUUCUUCUCUCCACUCUCCUCCUCAUCCAUUUUCCCUGGUCCUUUCUCCAGAGUAAUUUAUUUCUUAACAGUCUUCUACCCCAUAUCUCUUCAUUGCUUCCCCUGAUUGCUGCCAACAAUUCGCUGUCCAUCCAUAACUCCAAGCCAGUCCCACCUUUCUAGAAACUAAAGGAUUUUUCACAACUGCUUUGGUCAAUCAGUGUAGCUCCUUACAGUAUAUUUUCUAAGACUUUCCUCAUGCCACUGAAAACCACCUAGCAGCAUCCCGAGGAGCAGAUGGUCCCGUCAAAUUUGUAGGAAAUGACCCGUUCUGUACCAAUAAAGAGUGUGACAACAGGUUUGGCAUGAAAUGGUUAAGGAUUGGAGUAACUUUAGCUCAUCCAUUUACGCCCUUUCACAGUUAGAUAAAAUAACAAUUUCAGAACCUUGAGUUAAGAUGGAAUUAGGAGAGAGAGAGAGGAAAAAAGAAAAAAAAAAGAGAAGAAUGGAAAAGAAAAGGAAGGAAAAGAAGGAACAAGACCAAAAGGGCAGACAGAACAUCAGUGACAGACACAGGGGGAGCAGGAGAAUGGAAAAUGGAAUUAACAUGUUUGGAGGGAUCUGAGUGGUCAAUAUGUCUUUUUUUCAGAAAAGCAAGAGCAAUGCAUCUUUUCUCUCUUCUCAACUAUUGCAGAAUUCAAAAUAAUACUAUGAAGUAAAUGUGACUCUUACAAUAGAAAGACUGCCUUACUUAACUUCUCCAGCCAAAAUCUCUUUCAUGAGAAUGCACUCUACAUGAGGCAGGGGAACCCUGAUAUCUCUUCACCACUCCUUGUCAUUGGCAGGGCACCGCAAUCCAAAUAGACUGGAAGAAGUCCAUUGGAGAUGUCUUAUUCCAAUGAAUACUAUUAACUUCUGUUUCAGGCAGCUUACAAGCCUGGGGUGUGAGGAGAUUUGGAGAGGGCCAGCACAGCUGAGGCUUUUAUUGGUUAUGGCAGGCUUUUAGCCAGGCCCUGCUGCUUUAAAAGCGAACAGCAUCUUUGUGCUUGCAGAGGUAAUGGAGCUAUUAGAGCACUACUCAAGAGUAAGAAAAAACCAGUACUCAUCCCACCCCCACACAAUGGGUUAACACAGUUACAAGGUAAGAUAAGCCUCCUCCCUCCAGCCAUGGCUCCUCCUUUCUGUUUUCCCUUGAUGUGACAGUGAGCUCAUGAAGUCAAGCUGCGUAAAUCUCAGGAGAAGUAAAUGAGGGAGAGACAGAGAAAGAGGGAAAGAAACGGGACUGCAAUAAAAUAGAACGAAGAAUGGUCAAGAGUGAGUUUGAAAAAAACAAAGAAAAGAGAAGACACACUAAAAUAAAGUAAAGGGGCCAAAUAGCACUCAGAUGACAGGGGAAUGAAGACAGAAAGUGGGAUUCAAAGGAAAGGAGAGGGGAAAACAAAUUGGUCUGAAUCCUCUCUCUUGAGAACUGAUGGCCUCGGUUCAGCCUCACUAUUUAUGGCCUGAACUGCAUAAUUUUAUCUUUGUUCUUUGUAACAAGGAGAGACUAGAGCCCUUUUUGUCACCAAAUCUAACUGCCACACAUAGGGAUACUUCAUAGUCCUGGGCUGGAUGAUUCCCUUUGAAAAGGGUUGAGGGGAGGAAGGAUGUUUCCAUCCAAUGAAUAAUGGUUUUAAAGUGUUGGAAGGAAAAUGGGAUCUUUUCUUGGAGUUAAGGAGAAAAGGACUUAAUGAGCUUCUUAGGAGUGUCUUUAAUAACUCAGGAUGCAUUCCUUCACUCUUCACCAACCUCAAGGGGCUUCAGAGAAGGACAAGAAAUUAGAAUGGAUAACUCAAGAGAGAGAGGUCUGGGUAGGAUCAGUGGCCAUGACCUGAGUUUGGGUUUUGAGUACUGCACAGCUGCUCUCCAGUCUCCCUCAGGACUUCAAACCCCAUCCCUGUUGGCUGUUAGCAAGCCUAGCCUGUCCAGGUGACACCUAACUUGCAGUGUGCCUGGCCUGUUGAGCUGCUGUCCAUGGUUAAGCUUUCUUUUGGGGCUACACACAGAGAAACUGAGAAAGGGAGGACAACAAGGAUGUGGAUAGGGAAUAAAAAGGAAGAAGAACUAAAGGAAGACAUCUUUCACUAAAUGAUUUUCUAUAGGGACCCUCAACCCCAAUGACUGUCAUGUCUUUCUUCUUUCCUGGUACCUUUCCCAAGAUUGCCUUUUUUUGUUUUAUGUCUCACACUCUCCUUGGCCUACAAUUUCUUGUAUCUUUCAUAUUUUUUCUUUCUUUUUCUGUUGUUCCACUUUUGUGAAAUGUCAAUGUUUAUUUAACCUCUGUGCAGCCUGCUAUGAAGGAUACAACAAAAUGUCUGGUGGGGCUCUGACUUCUGGGAGCUUACAGUCAUACGGAUGAAACAAAACUAAUAAACAUGACUCAUUUAGCAAACAAUAGUCUGACGCUAAGAUGUGUCAGAGAAAUGCAAAGUGAAAAGUAUAAUUGUAUUGUUGUUCACACUUCAGGCAUGAAUGCAACUACCCAUGAUCCCAAACUCCAGGCCUUGGUUUAAGUUCAUUUCACUCAGCUUCUGAAGGACCACUCAGAGUUUAAAGUGUCAGCAAGAAAAGAGAGCUUGGCACAUAUUCUCCCAAACACAUCAUCAGGGCCAGGCAGAGCUUUGGAGCUCACUUUAGGUCAGGAAGCCCAUAGAUCUGACUAAUGAAUGAUCCUAUGUUAUCAGACAAAAAGAAGUCUCUCCAUUUUUCAUUAACCCCCACCCCCACUCUUUUCUAUAAAUUAAGAGGAAGGAGGAAAGGGGAAAGGGAAAACAGAAGAGGAGGAAACCUGUUACCAUGAGCAGAUAAAGAGGAAACAUCAAUACAUGUGCACACACACAAAAUAAGAUGCUUUUGUUUUUCACCUAUGUGUUUAGCAGGUAGAUUAUCCAGGAUAUUUGUUCUGGUGCCCAACAUCCCGGGCUAUGUUGCCUUCGAGUUACUCACCAGAACAAAUGCAGGAAAUCCAUAUUUUCCAUGAGAAGAAAGAAAGUCAGUUAGGCCAAAGGAGAGAAGAGCUCAUGCGGACUCUCACCUUCUGUGACCGUGGUUCUAAAGUGUGAAGAGGAGAGCCAGAGAUACAUGUUAGGUAUCUAAUUUAUGCCGUAUCCUCACCCUAUUUAUUUUUGCCCCACUCCUUCUCCAAACGUACAGUGAACCUUGAGCAACAAAAUGAAACCUGAAUAGAUGGCAAAGACAGGAAUCACAGCAGAUUUUGCUGGUUACUACAAGCUUGAAAGAUGGGUCUGGGGCCGGGGGGUAUUGUUUUCCAGCCUCAUGCUAAAUUUUCAAGGAUCCCCUAAUAUUGCCUCCACUUUUAAUAAUGAAAAUAUUAUUAGAUUAGUGACUUUCAGCAAAUAGACCCAAAUCUUUAGCCUAUAAUGCAAUAUAUAACUAAAAAGCAAAUACCUCAUAAGUAUUCUGUCAUCCCAACUCUGCAAGCAUGGAUGGUGUUAUUUUUUGGUGUAACUUUAUAAUCAUUUCACUUCAAUGGAUAUUCAUCAGCUGAUGCCGUAACUCUGCCAUGCUACAUAUUGUAUCUCUAGACCUCAGAAUUAGAAGUGGGUUGAAAUGGUUCAAAGUUCAGUGUUCCUUAAUCCCAAAACAGAACCCCAAAUCAUUUUUGAAAGUUUAGAACAUUUGAGUGGCUAUGAAUUCCUGUUUUAUUAACUACACAUACAGCCUUAUGUCAUUUAUAAAUUUGACUAUUUCAAGGAUAAGGUCUCAUAAACUCUCUUAAAUAAGAACCGACGUCUUUCUCUUUCUCAUAUGUUUAAAACCUAGAAUAUCCCUAGAAAGUUUAGUUUCCUUAGGCCUACAGCAGUUUUCCAAAGCCAAUGAAGAGCUUUGAUAAAGAGAUGGGAUGUUUGUUCUCAAUAGGUGUACUUAUCCCUGCAAUUUUCAGUUCACCUGUCAAGUCCAGCGCAACAGUCCCAGCCUAGGAAACUAAGCUCAUCACCGCUGCUCCUCUGAGAAGAGGCCCUGCAAUGUUCUGUAGAGGGUCUACAGGUCAAGCAACUAAAAAAGAUCAGAAUCAUCAAAAUUGGACCCCAAAAGAUGUGAGAAAACAAAUAAUUUGCUUUCCCAAGAGUAAAACAAAAAAAUAAAUAAUAAAGCGAAAAUAGAGGUUAAGAAAACUGAACAAAAGCCAAAGUAUGUUAGUAAAAUUUACUCUUUCCUCCUUAUCGAAAAAUAUCCACCUUUAUCAAAGCCCAUGAAAUUUUGCCUCUGGAUAAUAGAUUUACCUUCCAAGCUAAUUUCCCUGCCUCUUAUCCAAUUGAAAGAUUGAUUUUAAGAUUUUAGAUCAAGACACAUGAAACUGCCAUUUUUAAAGAUAGAAAAGAUCAAAUAUUGGCAAUUUCAGAUGGUUCAAUCAGAGACUUCACUUAUUUCGUGACAUUCCUUCCGUGUGCAAAACUCUAUAAUGUCUCACCAAUAAUUUCUUGAUUAAAACAGAAACUAUGAAAUGUGCAACUCAUGAGUUCCUCCUUACCUAACAGAUGUUAUGCCUUCCUACCUGUUACCCAGUAAAGACCAUCUCCAUAGCACCCUCUCUAGGUGCUGCAAACUCUGCCUCUAAUUUUUUAAAAAAUUAAUUUCUAUUCUUUUAUAAUUCUCCAUCCCCUCUAUCUACUAUGUAACUUCUAAGCUUUAUUUAAGUACUUUCACACAAUCCAUAUUAAGCAAGAAGACUCCAUGACAAAAUUCAUACUUCACUGAAACUUCCCUACCUAGAAUAUUUCCUCAAAUAUAUGAUUGGCUCAAUAAUAUCAUAUUGGUUCAUAUAUAAGCCAAUGUAAUUAGAAUAUGAUAAACUCAAUAAUAUCACAAGUAAAGAUACCUAUUUUUUAGUAAAACAUCAUUAUUUCAAUUGUGAAUGCAUUUCGUAUACCUGACUAAACCUUAAGCACUUUAAAACAUUUUACCUUUUCAUUUAUCUACAUAUUUAUUAAUUUUGUUUGAUCUAUCCCUAGUAUAACCUGGCAUAGUUUGGAGACAGCAAAACCAACCAUACUAGGUAAAUCAAUCCUUCUCCAACAGUUCAUUUCUGUGUAGUAACCACAAAAUGCCAAUCAAGACAUUGUGAGCAGCCUUUAAAUAGCAACUUUCCUUCCAACUCUCUGGGACUACAAUUUGUGAAUAUAUAUUGCUCCAGUAAGUACUGGUUACGGGUCAUAAAAGAAAGAAAAACAACACAACAGCAAUCAGCCAGACUCUCCUUCCCAAACCUGCCUCCAGUGCUGAUUGUUCCAAAUCAUUACUUAUCCAAUCAGUCUGUUAGUAAAGUGGCUGGCUAAAGACACCUACCAGGCACACAGGAAAUUACUACUAUGGGAGAUGAUGAAGCAUCAUUGUAACAAUAAGAGCAAAAAGCCAUUGCGUGCUUAUUAAAUGCCAGGUGCCAUUUUAAGCUCUUCAGAAACCUUAUCUCAUUUAAUCUUCACAAACUCCAUGAGGGUUACAUACUUUUUCAGUUGAGGAAAUUGAGGCAGAGAGUGACUGAGCCACUUGCCAGUUCAAUUACUACUAAGUAGUAGAGUGUAGAUCAUAUACUAGAGCUGCUUUCUUCUAAAACAUGGUCUUCUGUAAACUGGAGGAUCCUUAUAAAUCACUGAGUCCUAAUCCAAGCUGAAUGACUUGCCUAAGGUCACAAAAUGACUCACUGGCUGAGCUAAAACUGAAAUACUGGCCUUCACUGUUAAUUGACUUCUAACUCUGCACUGUUCCAACGUGGUACACAGACAAGUUGAGAAGAGUGAAGUUCAGGAAGAAGAAGAGUUCUAUUUUCACCUCGUGGGUAAGUGAAAAGAUAUCUUCUGAAGUGUUCUCCAGAAACUGUGCAGGUGGCGGUUCUCUUAGAAGAAAAAGAAAGGCAGGGAUCCUUGAAAUGGUAAUAUUUCAGUUGUUUCAUAUACAUAGAAGUGUCUCACAUGGCCAGCAAGGUGAUCAUUUUCUCUUAUGUGCUUAUACCUGUUUACUUCAUUAUAACUUGAUAUGGCUCAAACCUCAAGGUCUGUGGGAAUUGUUUGUUUUUGUGUAUCUGCAUGAGAGCCACUCAUACCCUAAUCCAAAGUUUCUGCAGCCCACCCUCAGUGGGAAGCUCAUUAUUCAUAAAUUGUUUAAAAUUGAAAUGUCAUUCUAAACAGAUCCUACAAGAACAGACAUAUACAAUUUAGACUGUAUAGUGCAAUAUAUAUAUACACACACAUAUAUGUGUAAAUAUAUAUAUGUUUGUAACCCUGUUUUCUUUCGUAACAGUUUCCUCUUGAAUAUGAAGUGCCUUACUUUUCCUGUUUAUGGCAGUGUUAUCUGUUUAAAAUGUAUUUGUAGCCUGUAGACUUUCAGUCUAAGUGACAAGCCAGCUGAAACAUGCUACAGAUUUUAGUAGUUAUACAACCUAGUUUAACAAACUAGCUCCCUGAGAAUCAAUGACUGACAAAAAAAUUUGAUUUACAAACCUUCAAUGUAUAUGGAAUUCCAGUUUACAGUAUAAAGUCUGCAAACACUUCACAUGAGGACAGAAGCAAAGGAAGUAGAUACACGUAAAUAUUAAAUGAAAGGUUUGUGAGAUUAUAUUAUUGCAGCAGAUUUUAAAAACAUAAUUUGCUAAAUGCACUCAAUUGGUUCAAUGAUGAAAUUUACAUCCCAAAACUAAGGCGUGUUUUCUAUUUGCAAAAGUGAAAUGAGUUUCAAUGAGUUGUUAGUGUUUGGAAAUUCCUACCAGAAUUUUCUUUUUAAAUAACCUUUUCUUUCUAUCUAAAAUAAAUCACUCAUUUGCUGAGAAAGUAUAUAUAGUUGACUUAGAAAACACUAAAAUAUGUCAUAUAGCUUCCUGCAGAGUUAGCUAUACAAUGCUCAGUACUUUUUAAUAUUCACACACAUGGUUAAGUUUUAAAUGCUGGUCAUGACAUAAAUAUGUGCAAUGAAGUAUAAGUCACCUAAUAUCAAAAGUGUAUAUACCAAGUAUUAAUAAAAAGUAAAGAUAAUUCAAAGCUAUUAAUAAUCAGAAAUGGAUCCUUCACUCAAGAGGUCAGCACUUUAGAAAGAGGUAAGACACAGCCUAUACUGAAUAGCAGCAUUUAAAUUGAAGAAAUUAAAGGUAUUUUUAUGCUUUUAAUAUAAGAAAUAUGUGCAGAAAACUAAAGGCCUAAACUAUCAUUCAGAUUUGAGAAAGUAUGUAGUGGUUAUUUUCUGUUUUCUGGUUAUUUUCAUUUAUUUGCUUAUUUUCUUUCUAUUGAAAGUAUUGUUACAUCUUUCUCCAUAAGAAAAUGUUUUAAGUUUAGAUUUAAAAUAUAAAUAUAUAGGAAAAAAGUAAGCAGAAAAAUGUCCCCACUUGUUAAAUCAGUUGGUUAUUCCCCUUUGAGGAAGAGAAAGAAGCUCAAUUACAGAGUAUUUAAAUUUCUAAAAUUAUAUUGGAUUCUAAAGAAUGUAUAAUUCAGCAGAUUAUUUUCUUAAUAUAUGACACAUCAGGUAACAUGAAUUACAGCGACAAAAGUAGCUCCUUCUGUGGUACGGAGUGAACACAGCAAAGCAGAUUUUCUGUGUGAACAACACACUCUCCUCUUGUAUACUUGACUCCCACUGUCUUAAGGAGUGUCUGGUAAUUUAUAUACCAUUUAACCCAGCAAUCUCAUUACUAGGUAUAUACCCAAAAGAAUAUGAAUAAUUCUAUCAUGAAGAUACAUGCACAUGUAUGUUCAUAGCAGCACUAGACACAAUAGCAAAGACAUGGAAUCAACCCAAGCAUCCAUCAAUGAUAGACUGAAUAAAGAAAAUAUGGUACAUACACACCAUGGAAUACUAUGCAGCCAUAAAAAAAACAAGAUCAUGUCCUUUGCAAGGACACGGAUGGGGCUGGAAGCCAUUAUCCCCUGCAAACUAACACAGGAACAGAAAAGCAAACCCCACAUGUUCUCACUUAUAAGUGGGAGCUGAACAAUGAGGAUACAUGGACACAGGGAGGGGAACAACACACACUGGGGCCUGUUGUGGGGGUGGAGGGAGGGAGGGCAUCAGGAUAAAUAGCUAAUGCAUGGGGGACUUAAUACCUAGGUGAUGGGUUGAUAGGUGCAGCAAACCACCAUGGCACAAGUUUACCUAUGUAACAAACCUGCACGUCCUGCACGUGUAUCUUGGAACUUAAAAUUAAAUUACAUUUUAAAAGAAAAAGAAAGUAGCAGACAGAAGCAUCAGUGAAUGAAUCUUAAGGAUCUAGCCAGUCUAGAAGACUUUGUGAAUUAGAGGGAGGAAGAGAGAAUCAUGGAUGCAGAAGAGAGUCAGAACAUUCAAUUCAUCAAAAGUUCUCUCUCUCAAUUAGAAAUCUGUCCAUUUCCCAAACCUUAUUUAUAGUCCACAGAUUCUUCAAGAUUUUUCUCUCAUUUUCUUAGUCUAUGAAAGCCACCUAGUGUGUCUAUAUUUCUAUUACAAAUAGACAAAGAAGUAUUCUUUGAUAACCUAGAAUUCUGAAAUCAGUUAAUAGUACGAAAAGCAUACUUAACUUCCUAAUUUUAUUUAUUUAGGCAUUCAUUUCUACUCUGUCUCAUUUUCCAAAGGAUUCAAGGGGUUUAAAGGGUAGAGUAAACAACACUCCUGCAUUUUCACAUUAUGAUUGAAAGACUAAGCAUACGAAUAUCAUGGUUUUGGUUGAUUUGAGGAACUUCUGCCCUGAACAGGGUGAUCUGUUACAUAAUCCAAUCAAUUCACUCAAUUCAAAAAAAUAUAUCCAAGGAUCUGUACAACCAUGUGCUUGAUGGUCAGAAAGAUAAGUUUGUAAAAUAUAGCUACUGCCUUCAGGGACUUUGCAGCUUAGGCCUCCUUUCUGGCUUCUUUUGCUUGAUCGUCUAGUGGUUUAACCUUUAGUCACUUAACUGAUAACCACAGUUAUCACUUAUUCACAUAACUGAUAACCACAUGUUAUGCCUCUUUCACAGCACAAGAAAGAAAGGUUAUUCCUCCAGCACAGGAGGCCUUCCUGUGAAAGUCAAGUGAAACUGGAUUUGACUGAACUGGGUCAGAUGAGAUUUUGAUAUUAUCAAUGUAGUUGUAUACAGUAUUUUGGCUUCUUCACUAGCUUGGAUAAUCAGGACAUGACAAUUAUAACACCUGUUUCAUGAGGAAUGAUAAUCAUAUCAUGACAUUUUUAUGCUUCAUUCACUGUUAUGAUUUGAACUGCUUCAUGUCCAACACCGGUUUGUAGAGUUUUAGUGUUGCAUUACAGCAUUAUAAAAACAAGCUAGAGUCACAUGAUUGUAGGCAAAGUUUGGACUGUUGCAGUAAUAUAUUGAUUAUUUCCAUGACAUCCAAAAUAAAGACUGCGUAACUAUAACAUAAAAUGAUUACAAAGCCAAGAAACUCAUAGCAUUGGUUGACAGCUAAUAAAUUAGUUUGAACUUUAAGUUUUCAAAGAAUUUUCUAAUGGAAAAAAAUUUUAAUGUUUAUUUAACUGAUUAUGUAUUCUAGAGAACUUUAUGAUCUUGCUUUUCUUUUGUGACCAUGAAUUCCUGAUUUCCUGGUGUUUAUGUUUAUGAUUUGGCUGAUAAUCUUGUUUCAAGUACUUCUUACAUGGCAAGUGGAAUUGCUGUUAGAACUCACCACAUGUCGUCACAAUUCUAAAAUUAGUUAAGAAUGCAUUGUUUGAGCCCACAUGGACUUCCUUUAAAGUUGGGGAAUAUCCUUCAUGUAUUUGAAUUUGGCUACUUUACAACCAACAUGUACUAAUUUAGAAAUUCACAGCACCAGUAUGUGAACAUUUUGUAGUCUUCAAUUUAUGCCUCUGAAAACAGUAGUCUCCCCAAAGAAAAAAAAUAGCCUCUUCUAGAAAACGAAGUAAAGGCAAAACCAAGUUGAUAUAUUUCAAAAGCUGUAUGCAGCAUCCAGUUCAGAUAUAAUUUUCAAAGAAUGAAUUUUAAUGCACACAGCCCUAUUAGCACAGGAUCAGAUUCCUAACAAAUCGAUUGGACGUGCAGAAAGAGUCUGUGUCCUAGAUUCAAAGUCAUUACACAGUCUUAAACACAGCUGUGCGGCAAGCCUUUCAUUCUAGAUGGACAUGAGCAAAUUGAAUGGUUCCGAAGGUGAUUGGCUGGUGGAUUUCCUACAAUGCAAUUUUCAAUAAUGACAAGUUUAAUGAAAUCACUAUUGUAUUAUUUAGCAAGGGAAUGUGUAUCCUAUUUUGUAUAGCCAUCAAUGGCUGAUUAAGUGUGCACAGGAGUAUGAAUGCACAAAUAUUUAAACAGAUUCAGAGGCACCCAUUAUUCUUUGGUUUAGGGGAGGUACAUACACCCAACCCUGCCACUAUCCUUGCCCAACCAGGGAUGAAGAUAAUCCUAUACUUUUUAUUGUAAUUUUACUUCCUUUCUGUCAUUCCUGAAUUCUGGCUUCCUGCUGUCUCUAAUCUUUUAUUAGAAUUGUCAAUUUCCAUUGAGUAUAUGAUAAACUUUCUUCUUAAUUGUAAAUGUUUUCCAUUCUAUAUCCAAAAAUAUGUGCUUACACAAGCAUUACACAUGCAAAAACAUUAUAUAUGUAAACUACUAACCUUGUAUCAUUGUUUCAUGCAUGGACUCUGCAGAUGCCAAUGAGGAAAAUAAUACUUUUAUUCUUUUUUUUUUUUUUUUUUUGAGACAGGGUUUCACUCUGUUGCCCAGACUGGAGUCCAGUGGCAUGAUCUUGGCUCACUGCAACCUCCACUUCCCAUGUUCAAGUGAUCCUCCCACCUCAGCCUCUCUAGUAGCUGAGACUACAGGCGUGUGCCACCAUGCCCAGCUAAUUUUUGUAUUUUUAGUAGAGACAGGGUUUCAUCACGUUGGCCAGGCUGGUCUUGAACUCCUGACCUCAGGUGAUCCAUCCACCUCGGCAGCAUGAGCCACUGCGCCUGGCCUAUAAUUUUAUUCUUAAUUUUAUGUCAUAUGAGGAUUGGGGCAGAAAGAUCCAUAUAUAUUCUAUAAAAUUAAAUUCUAAUAAAUAAAUGAAUAUCCAUGGAGGAGAUUAUUUUUCUUGUGAAAUUCAUUCCCAGUACCUACGUUUAUUUACAGAAAAAGUGCAUUAUAACUGUUCAGUUUUGGUGAAUAACUCUAUACUUGUUGCUUAUGAUUUCUUAUGUGUGGAGCAUAAAUAAAAAAAUUGUGUUAUUA